rnacentral:lncRNA from 1 species
CCGAGGGGAAGCAGCGGGGCUGCCCGGGUUACGCUGGCCACCCGCACCUGGUCCUGUGGCUUCGACCACUAGUCAGCAAGGCCCCGGAGAGGCCAGCGAAGAGGAGGGGCUCGUUGGCUUUACGGAGACGCGCGGAGCACCCUCAAGGUGCCACACGCUCGCCUGCUCCCUGUUCCUACAUCCUGGGCGUCUUCCCAGGCUGUCAUAUAACUCCUGAGAAUAGUGGUUCUUAACUCUAAAGAGUCUUGCUGUGUCACCCAGGCUGGAGUGCAGUGGUGAAAUCUUGGCUCACUGUGGCUUCAGCCUCCCAGGCUCAAGAGAUCCUACCAUCUCAGCCUCCUGAGUAGCUGGGACUACAGAGAGAAGAACUGAAGCUGAAAAAUCUACCUGCCUAAGGACUCAUAACUUGUAAGAAUAGUUGUGAAACCUCACUGGAGGAACUGCAGAUUCAUUAUUUUUCUUAAUAACACACUAUAAAG